rnacentral:rRNA from 1 species
GACGAACGCUGGCGGCGUGCUUAACACAUGCAAGUCGAACGGUGAAGGGACCGGUUUUUGCUGGUUCUGGAUGAGUGGCGAACGGGUGAGUAACACGUGAGUAACCUGCCCCCUUCUUCCGGAUAACCGCAUGAAAGUGUUGCUAAUACGGGAUAUUCUGCUCCUGCUGCAUGGUGGGUGUGGGAAAGAUAUUGUUUCGGUGGGGGAUGGGCUCGCGGCCUAUCAGCUUGUUGGUGGGGUGAUGGCCUACCAAGGCGGUGACGGGUAGCCGGCCUGAGAGGGUGGACGGGCAGACUGGGGAGGAGACACGGCCAAGACUCCUACGGGAGGCAGCAGUGGGGAAUAUUGCACAAUGGGCGCAAGCAUGAUGCAGCGACGCCGCGUGAGGGAUGGAGGCCUUCGGGUUGUAAACCUCUUUCGCCAGUGAAGCAGGCCUGUCCCUUUUGUGGGUGGGUUGACGGUAGCUGGAUAAGAAGCGCCGGCUAACUACGUG